AUUGAACGCUGGCGGCAUGCCUAACACAUGCAAGUCGAACGGCAGCACAGCAGUAGCAAUACUGUGGGUGGCGAGUGGCGGACGGGUGAGGAAUACGUCGGAAUCUGCCCAGUCGUGGGGGAUAACUAGCCGAAAGGUUAGCUAAUACCGCAUACGACCGAGAGGUGAAAGCGGGGGACCGCAAGGCCUCGCGCGAUUGGAUGAGCCGACGUCGGAUUAGCUAGUUGGCGGGGUAAAGGCCCACCAAGGCGACGAUCCGUAGCUGGUCUGAGAGGAUGAUCAGCCACACUGGAACUGAGACACGGUCCAGACUCCUACGGGAGGCAGCAGUGGGGAAUAUUGGACAAUGGGCGCAAGCCUGAUCCAGCAAUGCCGCGU
rnacentral:rRNA from 1 species